UACGGGGGGGGCAAGCGUUGUUCGGAAUUACUGGGCGUAAAGGGCUCGUAGGCGGCCGACUAAGUCAGACGUGAAAUCCCUCGGCUCAACCGGGGAACUGCGUCUGAUACUGGCCGGCUUGAAUCCGGGAGAGGGAUGCGGAAUUCCAGGUGUAGCGGUGAAAUGCGUAGAUAUCUGGAGGAACACCGGUGGCGAAGGCGGCAUCCUGGACCGGCAUUGACGCUGAGGAGCGAAAGCCAGGGGAGCAAACGGG
rnacentral:rRNA from 1 species